AGGGGUGGGUACCUCAUGGGGCCGCCACCUAGCGAAUCUCUUCCGUCCAAUCCCGGCCCAUACGGGCCUGGCGACAGGCGCGUAGCUCAGUUGGUUAGAGCGCACGACUGAUAAUCGUGAGGUCGGCAGUUCAAAUCUGCCCGUGCCUACCACGCUGCAAAGUGCCGGCGGCCUUGCCGCAAGCCCUCAUCGGGCCGGCCAUAUCGGGAUUGAAGGGAGUUACCAAAUUUUCCUGCCGCGACGGGUUCGCCCGCCAAGGCACGCUGUUUGACAAAGUUAGUGAAGACAUCCAAGACCGUGGGAUUGCAUGGUCACAUCAGAACAAGGCCUUCUUGUCGGGUGUGAGCAAUCCUGCAAAAUGUGCUUGUAAGGCCGGCGCAACGGUUUGUGUUACUGUUUUCCAGUGGCAUUUGCCUUUGUGUGCGGUCUGAUCAAGUGUCUCUAAGGGCAUUUGGUGGAUGCCUUGGC
rnacentral:tRNA from 1 species